rnacentral:rRNA from 1 species
GACGAACGCUGGCGGCGUGCUUAACACAUGCAAGUCGAACGAAGAGCGAUGGAAGCUUGCUUCUAUCAAUCUUAGUGGCGAACGGGUGAGUAACGCGUAAUCAACCUGCCCUUCAGAGGGGGACAACAGUUGGAAACGACUGCUAAUACCGCAUACGAUCUAACCUCGGCAUCGAGGAUAGAUGAAAGGUGGCCUCUACAUGUAAGCUAUCACUGAAGGAGGGGAUUGCGUCUGAUUAGCUAGUUGGAGGGGUAACGGCCCACCAAGGCGAUGAUCAGUAGCCGGUCUGAGAGGAUGAACGGCCACAUUGGGACUGAGGCACGGCCCAGACUCCUACGGGAGGCAGCAGUGGGGAAUCUUCCGCAAUGGACGAAAGUCUGACGGAGCAACGCCGCGUGAGUGAUGACGGCCUUCGGGGUUGUAAAAGCUCUGUUAAAUCGGGACGAAAAGGCCUUUCUUUGCG